rnacentral:rRNA from 1 species
ACGCGACCCAGGUCAGCGGACACCCGCUG